rnacentral:rRNA from 1 species
AACGAACGCUGGCGGCAUGCCUAAUACAUGCAAGUCGAACGAGAUCUUCGGAUCUAGUGGCGCACGGGUGCGUAACGCGUGGGAAUCUGCCCUUGGGUUCGGAAUAACUUCUGGAAACGGAAGCUAAUACCGGAUGAUGACGUAAGUCCAAAGAUUUAUCGCCCAAGGAUGAGCCCGCGUAGGAUUAGGUAGUUGGUGAGGUAAAGGCUCACCAAGCCGACGAUCCUUAGCUGGUCUGAGAGGAUGAUCAGCCACACUGGGACUGAGACACGGCCCAGACUCCUACGGGAGGCAGCAGUAGGGAAUAUUGGACAGUGGGCGAAAGCCUGAUCCAGCAAUGCCGCGUGAGUGAUGAAGGCCUUAGGGUUGUAAAGCUCUUUUACCCGGGAUGAUAAUGACAGUACCGGGAGAAUAAGCUCCGGCUAACUCCGUG